UACGAAGGGGGCUAGCGUUGUUCGGAAUUACUGGGCGUAAAGCGUGCGCAGGCGGCCAUCCAAGUCAGUGGUGAAAGCCCGGAGCUCAACUCCGGAAUUGCCAUUGAAAACUGUUUUGGCUCGAGUACGAGAGAGGUGAGUGGAAUUCCCAGUGUAGAGGUGAAAUUCGUAGAUAUUGGGAAGAACACCAGUGGCGAAGGCGGCGAUCUGGGAAGAUACUGACGCUGAGGUGCGAAAGCGUGGGGAGCAAACAGG
rnacentral:rRNA from 1 species